rnacentral:rRNA from 1 species
GAUUUAUUGGGCGUAAAGCGUGUGUAGGCGGUUUAUUAAGUUUAAGAUUAAAGCCCGAGGCUCAACCUCGGUACGUCUUAAAAACUGGUAGACUUGAGUGUAGUAGAGGCAAGUGGAAUUUCUAGUGUAGCGGUUAAAUGCGUAGAUAUUAGAAGGAACACCGGUGGCGAAGGCGACUUGCUGGGCUAUUACUGACGCUGAGACACGAAAGCGUGGGGAGCAAAUAGGAUUAGAUACCCUAGUAGUCCACGCCGUAAACUAUGAGUACUAAGUGUCGGGCAACCGGUGCUGAAGUUAACACAUUAAGUACUCCGCCUGAGUAGUACGGUCGCAAGGCUGAAACUUAAAGGAAUUGGCGGG